UGGACCAAAGUUGAUGACAGGUGCAUAUGAGUCAUACACGAUGAAGAUGAUGUGUCUGGAACUCUGAGGUCCCA